AACAUCUACGGAUGAUUCUUCAGAGAGUUAUGAAACCUUAUUAUUACACCAUGCAUGGCUAGUAAGUUUUGAGCAAACUAAGUUAUCUAAUUGAAUAUGUUGUCUCUAGUGGUGGAAUCAUGGAGAAGUAUAUGUCGAUGCCAAAGCUCUUAGCAUAAAGAGUGUGCUAGGAAAAGUUUGGAGAACACCUAGAUUUGAGGAUUUGUGUGCGG
rnacentral:lncRNA from 1 species